ACCCUCCAGAUUUCUUAGCCCUCGGAUCUAAAUACUGGUCUGAUGGCUACAAAAGGAGGGACAGUAAAACUGAAGUGGACUUGGAACCUUUAGGGACACAGAAGUUCAAGUUCACUUCAAACAUUA
rnacentral:snoRNA from 1 species